GCUAUAUUUACCGUGCUCUACAAGAUGUUAGAUCCUGGGAAGCCAUCUUUCACACCCAAGAAAAGGAAACCACAUGUUGUCAUGUUUGUGGGUUUAUAAGGGUCUGGAAAAACUACUACACAUAAAAAAUAUGCCCAUUACCACCAAAAGAAGGGCUGGAAACCAGCUUUGGUAUGUGCAAAUACAUUCAGAGCCGGUGCCUUUGAUCAACUGAAGCAUAAUGCAAAUGCUAAAUCACAUGAUUAAUUCUUUAUAGUGGCAUGUAAAGUUAUAACUACCAGAGUUUAUUCUCUAUGUUCUGAGAGAAUGUAUUCUAUGUAUUAUGCAAGAUUGUAUUCUAAUUAUUCUACCAGAAUGUAUUAUAUGUAUUCUGCCAGAAUGUAUUCUAUGUAUUCUGUCAGAAUGUGUAAAUUGACAGGAAUUGCAGGUAACAUGCUUUUAACCA